rnacentral:rRNA from 1 species
AAAGAUUAAGCCAUGCAUGUCUAAGUGUAAGCAAUUUAUACUGUGAAACUGCGAAUGGCUCAUUAAAUCAGUUAUCGUUUAUUUGAUAGUACCUUACUACAUGGAUACCUGUGGUAAUUCUAGAGCUAAUACAUGCUAAAAACCCCGACUUCGGAAGGGGUGUAUUUAUUAGAUAAAAAACCAACGCCCUUCGGGGCUCCUUGGUGAAUCAUAAUAACUAAACGAAUCGCAUGGCCUUGCGCCGGCGAUGGUUCAUUCAAAUUUCUGCCCUAUCAACUUUCGAUGGUAGGAUAGUGGCCUACCAUGGUGGCAACGGGUAACGGGGAAUUAGGGUUCGAUUCCGGAGAGGGAGCCUGAGAAACGGCUACCACAUCCAAGGAAGGCAGCAGGCGCGCAAAUUACCCAAUCCCGACACGGGGAGGUAGUGACAAUAAAUACUGAUACGGGGCUCUUUCGGGUCUCGUAAUCGGAAUGAGAACGACCUAAAUAACCUAACGAGGAACAAUUGGAGGGCAAGUCUGGUGCCAGCAGCCGCGGUAAUUCCAGCUCCAAUAGCGUAUAUUAAAGUUGUUGCAGUUAAAAAGCUCGUAGUUGAACCUUGGGUCUGGCUGGCCGGUCCGCCUCAUCGCGAGUACUGGUCCGGCCGGACCUUUCCUUCUGGGGAACCUCAUGGCCUUCACUGGCUGUGGGGGGAACCAGGACUUUUACUGUGAAAAAAUUAGAGUGUUCAAAGCAGGCCUUUGCUCGAAUACAUUAGCAUGGAAUAAUAGAAUAGGACGUGCGGUUCUAUUUUGUUGGUUUCUAGGACCGCCGUAAUGAUUAAUAGGGAUAGUCGGGGGCGUCAGUAUUCAGCUGUCAGAGGUGAAAUUCUUGGAUUUGCUGAAGACUAACUACUGCGAAAGCAUUCGCCAAGGAUGUUUUCAUUAAUCAGGGAACGAAAGUUAGGGGAUCGAAGACGAUCAGAUACCGUCGUAGUCUUAACCAUAAACUAUGCCGACUAGGGAUCGGACGGGUUUCUAUGAUGACCCGUUCGGCACCUUACGAGAAAUCAAAGUUUUUGGGUUCUGGGGGGAGUAUGGUCGCAAGGCUGAAA